CUCUUCCUUUCCAAGUCUUCCAUGAGACGCAGAGCAGUCCGACAUUUGAUUUAGGUCGAACCAGUGAUGGCUCUGUCUAGCCUCUCCAGCAAUGGACGCCUGCAGAGAAUGCAGGUAUUGGGUACUGAAAGGGUGACGACAUGAAAACGACAUGAAAACCAGAUCAUGUGGAGGUGAUCCUAAUGGCUGACCAGAAAGUGACUGGGUGAGGAGAGCUCAUGUAGAGGUUUCACUCUGGACUCAUGAUCUAGUCAGGUGUCCUCAGGCUGUGCUGGCUCUUUAACCUUCCUGGUUUGCCAAGGCACAGUGACAUGGUGAGCUGUACAAAGUGGAACGGUGGGAAUCAUAACAUGUCUGGGUGGACAGCUGCAGGCCAUCCAUGAAAUACUGAACUGGAAUUGUUUGCUCACAUUAGGUGUUUCUGAAUUUAUCAAAGCUCGACAGCAUGAACAUGUUCUGAUGGUGUGACUUUAACUGCGCCUUUUAGUAAACUGUCCAAACUUUCCUGAAGUUUUCAAUGUGAAAACUGACAGAAAAUAGUUGAAUGUUCAAAUUUCUUGUAAUAACUGAUUGAAACUUGUCAUUGACUGUAAUAAAACAAAUUGUCAACUA